AGCACCUCCUUCCCGCGGCUUCCUCCAGUAGUCCGCGGAGGGGCCGUCGGUAGCCAGGGCGGGUGAGUGGUGCUCUCAUCACCGGUGACAGCGCCUCCUCCUCGUGGCUUCGUUCGGCAGUCAGCAGAGGUGCCGUCGGUAACCGGGACGGGAGAGACCAAAGCCGUCCGCCAACACUGCCGUCUUGGAACCGGCGAAGAUAAGCAAUAAUGAAUCGCUGAACCUGUCCUCCGACGGAAAGCGAGCCCUAGUCUCGUCUGUGGGGUUACGUAACCGCUCUCGGC